UAGUUACUCCCUCCGAUCCAUCUUACUUGUCGAAAUAUUACAUGUAUCUAGACGCUUUUUAAACAUAGAUACAUCCAUAUUUGGCCAAAUUUGAGUCAAGUAAUAUGGGUCGGAGGGAGUAACUA
rfam:Brachypodium distachyon strain Bd21 chromosome 1, whole genome shotgun sequence.